CCGCGUCUGGGCGCGUGGUAUGGGGCGAGGGCGGCCGCCCCCCGUCUCCUGCAGGAGGCCGGCAUCACGCGGCAGGAAUACUUCGAGGCGGGCGGGGAGCGCGCUCGGCAACACUUCCUCGGCAACCCGCACUGGAGUCUCGUGGCCAGCGAAGACCUCAAGGAAGGCGGAGAGUCACUGCCUGACGCUGCCACCCAAGCCUAAGCAAGUCCUAAUUAAGUCUUGGCAAGUCCUAAGUCUAAGCCUAAGCAAGUCCUAAGUCUUGGCAAGUCCUAAGUCCAAGCCUAAGCAAGUCCUAAUGCAGGGACUCUGCAUUUAAUUCUUGUGUACAAAAUACGAGAUAUUAAUACGAGAAUUGUUACAAUGGCCUGAGAGUCGUGUACGUGUCGUAGGUUUAGUUAAUUAAAAUAAAGUUCAAUCAUUUUAAUUCGUGAUUGAAUUCAUUGUUGAAAUGUAGCAUUCCCGAGCAUCUGACAGUCAAUGAGUAAGAUGUUGAUUUUUGUCUUGGUUAUUAAAGUUAUUAUGAUGCUCCCCUGGAUAUUGAAACUCAAAUUGUAUAAAAUAAUUUAAUAAAUACUAUUGAAGAAUUUUUUUCAUAUAUACAAUUGCACCACAAACACUUCAGGCGAACACAUUCAGGAUCUUUUGAAGCGGUAACUAUAAUAUAAUGAAUGUUUUGGGUCAUACAAAUACGGCGGCCUAACGUUUAAUUUUAAUAUAUUCAAAAAAUAGUUUUGAAAGCUUGCCGUUCUAUUGUGCCAAGCUUGUGCAGGAAACAUGAAAUAUAUUAAAUUAUUCCUU